rnacentral:rRNA from 1 species
AUUGAACGCUGGCGGCAGGCCUAACACAUGCAAGUCGAGCGGAUGAGUGGAGCUUGCUCCAUGAUUCAGCGGCGGACGGGUGAGUAAUGCCUAGGAAUCUGCCCGGUAGUGGGGGACAACGUUUCGAAAGGAACGCUAAUACCGCAUACGUCCUACGGGAGAAAGUGGGGGAUCUUCGGACCUCACGCUAUCAGAUGAGCCUAGGUCGGAUUAGCUAGUUGGUGAGGUAAAGGCUCACCAAGGCGACGAUCCGUAACUGGUCUGAGAGGAUGAUCAGUCACACUGGAACUGAGACACGGUCCAGACUCCUACGGGAGGCAGCAGUGGGGAAUAUUGGACAAUGAGCGAAAGCCUGAUCCAGCCAUGCCGCGUGUGUGAAGAAGGUCUUCGGAUUGUAAAGCGCUUUAAGUUGGGAGGAAGGGCAGUAAGUUAAUACCUUGCUGUUUUGACGUUACCAACAGAAUAAGCACCGGCUAACUUCGUGCCAGCAGCCGCCGUAAAAC